rnacentral:rRNA from 1 species
UACGAGGGGGGGCGAGCGUUGUUCGGAAUUAUUGGGCGUAAAGGGUGCGUAGGCGGUUCCGCAAGUCCUGUGUGAAAUCUUCGGGCUCAACUCGAAGUCUGCACGGGAAACUGCGGGGCUUGAGUGUGGGAGAGGUGAGUGGAAUUCCCGGUGUAGAGGUGAAAUUCGUAGAUAUCGGGAGGAACACCAGUGGCGAAGGCGGCGAUCUGGGAAGAUACUGACGCUGAGGUGCGAAAGCGUGGGGAGCAAACAGG